UAGGGAAUCUUCCACAAUGGACGAAAGUCUGAUGGAGCAACGCCGCGUGAGUGAAGAAGGGUUUCGGCUCGCAAAACUCUGUUGUUAAAGAAGAACAUAUCCGAGAGUAACUGUUCAGGUAUUGACGGUAUUUAACCAGAAAGCCACGGCUAACUACGUGCCCG
rnacentral:rRNA from 1 species